GACGAACGCUGGCGGCGUGCUUAACACAUGCAAGUCGAGCGGUAAGGCCUUUCGGGGUACACGAGCGGCGAACGGGUGAGUAACACGUGGGUGAUCUGCCCUGCACUUCGGGAUAAGCCUGGGAAACUGGGUCUAAUACCGGAUAUGACCUCCUAUCGCAUGGUGGGUGGUGGAAAGAUUUAUCGGUGCAGGAUGGGCCCGCGGCCUAUCAGCUUGUUGGUGGGGUAAUGGCCUACCAAGGCGACGACGGGUAGCCGACCUGAGAGGGUGACCGGCCACACUGGGACUGAGACACGGACCAGACUCCUACGGGAGGCAGCAGUGGGGAAUAUUGCACAAUGGGCGAAAGCCUGAUGCAGCGACGCCGCGUGAGGGAUGACGGCCUUCGGGUUGUAAACCUCUUUCAGCAGGGACGAAGCGCAAGUGACGGUACCUGCAGAAGAAGCACCGGCUAACUACGUG
rnacentral:rRNA from 1 species